AAGCGGAAUGGACGGCGAGGGCGACGGGCCCCAGGGCCUGGAGGAGCAGGCGGCGGCGGCGGCCGAGGCAGCACGGGUAGGCAGGGGUACUCUCAUAGUCUAGGCCUUGGAAUCAAUGACAAUAACGGCCUCAGACCUGGAGUAUAUCUCAACUUCAAUGUGGAGAGUAGUGCGCAGGAAUGGAAAGAGGAGAGCAAGAGGAUAUGUUCUAUGAAAACCACCAAUGCUGUCAUGAACAAUGUUUAUAGGUCGCUUUACUGGAGAACUGGCUAAGACAGCUGGGCAUGUUCUUGCAAUGGAUUUCAUUGAAACUGUGAUUAAAAAGAAUGAAAGCAUAAAUGGCCAUUACGAAAAUGCAUCCUUCAUGUGUGCUGAUGUUACAUCUCCAGACCUGGUGAUUGAGGACAACUCGAUUGAUCUCGUAUUUUCAAACUGGCUACUGAUGUAUCUUUCAGACGAGGAGCACCCAGAAGAAGUAGAGGACAGGAGGAGGGAACAAGAAGCUUCGUUUAUCAUUGAUGUUAUGUGUGAUUAAUAAAAGCUUGUGCUUCUCAUCCAAUAUUUGUCGAACUAUGUUGAUGUGUGAUUAUGCACUUGUUGGUCCCUUUUGCUGUGCACCUACACUUGUAGAACUAUUUUGUUGUGCAUGUGUUGGGCCUGAAAUCUUUAUGUGUAGAGGAAUCGAUGGAUGAUGUAUUGUAAUUCAUGUGAUGUGCUACUAAAAUGAAAUAUAUACAACUAAUUUGCAA